UACGAAGGGUGCAAGCGUUACUCGGAAUUACUGGGCGUAAAGAGCUCGUAGGUGGUUUGUCGCGUUGUUCGUGAAAACCGGGGGCUUAACCCUCGGCGUGCGGGCGAUACGGGCAGACUUGAGUACUGCAGGGGAGACUGGAAUUCCUGGUGUAGCGGUGGAAUGCGCAGAUAUCAGGAGGAACACCGGUGGCGAAGGCGGGUCUCUGGGCAGUAACUGACGCUGAGGAGCGAAAGCGUGGGGAGCGAACAGG
rnacentral:rRNA from 1 species